UACAGAGGGGGCUAGCGUUGUUCGGAAUCACUGGGUGUAAAGGGUGCGUAGGCUGUCCGUUAAGUCUGAUGUGAAAGCCCUGGGCUCAACUCAGGAAUUGCAUUGGAAACUGGCGGACUCAGAGUACCGGAGAGGGAAGCGGAAUUCCUGGUGUAGCGGUGAAAUGCGUAGAUACCAGGAGGAACACCGGUGGCGAAAGCGGUUUCCUGGCCGAGUACUGACGCUGAGGCACGAAAAGCGUGGGGAGCGAACGGG
rnacentral:rRNA from 1 species